rnacentral:lncRNA from 1 species
AGAAAACUGAAAAAAACACCAAUUUUAUUGAAAAAAAACCCAUUACCCAGAAACUUAAAAUCUAAAAUUUAUAAAAAAAAAAAAAAAAAGGGGAGCUCACGUCAAUAGAUAUAAACAAUUUCCCAAACUUUAAUGCAAAUUGGUUAAAGAGUUUUUGAGUUAAUGUCCGACAUGUUGACAACAGACAGACAACAGUAUACCAUAUUACGUUCCGUUAACGAGCGCAUAAAAAAUAUUAUAAUAUAUUGAGUAGAAUUUAAACACAUUCUAGAUCAUAAUUAAUACUAAAAACAUAGUCAUAGAAAAUGGAAUGCAUUACAAAGGAUUAUAUCCGUAAUAAGAAAUACUGAUUUGUCAAAGACCAUAUUAUUUUAAUAUUUCAUUUACUGUUAUCUGUUUUUGUCCAUUUUAUUCCUUGUUAUCUGUUAUGAGCCAAAUCAAUUUGCUGUUUUGCUGUUAUUGGGACCCCCCUUGCCCCCCCUCAUGUA